GAGGGUAUAGCUCAGAUAUAGGGCAAAUGCUUAGCAUGCAGGAGGUCCUGGGUUCAAUCCCCAGUACUUCCU
rfam:Camelus ferus unplaced genomic scaffold scaffold1330, whole genome shotgun sequence.